GGAAUAUUGGACACUGGGCGAAAGCCUGAUCCAGCCAUGCCGCGUGUGUGAAGAAGGUCUUCGGAUUGUAAAGCACUUUAAGUUGGGAGGAAGGGUAGUAACUUAAUACGUUGCUACUUUGACGCUACCGACAGAAUAAGCACCGGCCAACUUCCAGCCAGCAGCCGCGGUAAUCAGAAGGGCGCAAGCGUUAAUCGGAAUUACUGGGCGUAAAGCGCGCGUAGGUGGUUCAGUAAGUUGGAAGUGAAAUCCCCGGGCUCAACCUGGGAACUGCUUUCAAAACUGCUGAGCUAGAGUACGGUAGAGGGUGGUGGAAUUUCCUGUGUAGCGGUGAAAUGCGUAGAUAUAGGAAGGAACACCAGUGGCGAAGGCGACCACCUGGACUGAUACUGACACUGAGGUGCGAAAGCGUGGGGAGCAAAC
rnacentral:rRNA from 1 species